GAUAUGCUGUGCACAAUUCUAGACUUUCAGAGUGGUGGAGGGUAUUCCACAUCAGCCACCUCCUGUGGGACUGGUGUUACGCCUGAAAUGGCUGCAUGACAUUCAAGGAUGUGUUCUCCAUAUUCUCCUGGGAGGAGUGGGAACUCCUUGAUGAUCACCUGGACGUCCAUGUGAUGCUGGCGAACUUCAUGCUUGUUGCCACACUUAGAGUUUUCUAAAACAGAGUAAAGGCUGGGAACACAGCUCAGCUGGUAGAGUGCUUGCCCAGCCUGCAUGGAGUCCUGGAACCCUGAUUUGUUUCUCUCUCGGCAUGGUAAAACACCAAUCAAAAGCAACUUGGUUGGGGGAGAGUUUACUUGGCUUACACAUCUUGAUUCCAUUUAAUCAUGAGGAACAUCAUGGCAGGAACUCAAAAGCAGGAGCAGAGGCAGGAACUGUGGAGGGGGGAACGCUGCUUACUGGCUUCCUUCUUAUGGCUUACCUAGCUCUCUUUCUGAUACAACCCAGGGCCUCUUGCCUAGGAAUUGUACUGCCCACAAUUGCCUGGGUCUUCCUGCAUCCAUUAUUCAUCAAGAAAAUGCCUCCACAGACAUGCCCACAGGAGAAGCUGGAGGAGGCAAAUCCUCAAUAGAGAUUUCCCUUUCCCUUUCCCAGACAUGUCUAGGUUUGUGUCAGGUUGACACAAACUAACUAGCCCACCUGGGUUUGAGCCUCAGUUUUAUAGGACCUCGGUAUGGUGGCAUGCAGGAGUAAGAGGGAGAGGAGAACCAGAAGUUCAGGGUUAUCCUUGGCUAUGUAGAGACUACAAAACCAGGCUAGGAUGAAUGAGAUCCUGUCGUUUCCCCUCCUUCCCUCAACUUGAAAAAAACAGAGACCAGAGUCAGGAGGAAGCCCAGGCCAUACCCUUUCCUAGAGUUCCUAGGGAAAAGAAUAUACAGCCAGAUGGCCAGUAUAAUUCCUCUGUACUCAAGGCAAGGCUGUUUAGUAUCUGGCCCUGUGUUGACUUAGGAUAAGGGAAAUAAAUACUGGGUUGAUCUGAGAGUUAGAAGUGGUUGUUGAGAGUAUGGGCUGUGCAUGGCAUGGGAGAUGUAGGCAAUCCUCAUUUUUAUUUUAGGCCAGUAAUUAAUGGGUGGCCAAUAAAACCUGUUUAUAAAGAGGCUGCUUGUCCUUUGAACUAUCUCUUUUGUGGCAGGGCUCUGUGGCCUUUGAUGCUGAGGGCCAUGCAGGAGGAACAACAAAUGGCUUUAGAACUCAUGGAAUCUGGCCCACAAGUUAGCACAACCCAGAUGUUUGUGCCUCAGAGAGGCAGGGGACCCACUCAGGACUACAUGUCCUUUGGGCUUCACUCUGUCAUUGAGUUUUGCUCUGCUUGCUGCCUUCACAUCCAUCUUAAUGUAAGAAUUGUAUGAAAGCUCUAACGGGGCUUCCAGCCCCUCUCUGGGCAGUAUCUCUGGCACUCACAAUAAUAAGACUUGAUCUUUUUCAACCAUUGCUUCUGGAGCAGACUAAUGAUUCAGUUACCACCCUAAGAAAGAACUUAGAAAUAUAGAUGGCUAGCUAAGACCGCCAUCCUUAGAAAGCAUUUGAAAGGCUAAAAUUGAUAGUGAAGCCAGAUUAAGAUGUUUUUGUUAGUGGCUCUGAUGUAGAAAAUCUUAGGAAACAAUUUGAAGCUUAGGAGCACAUAUCUUAUUAGUUGAGCUAGAGACCUUUUGAGGUCAGGGAACAUUGAUCAUUGGCUGAUGUGACUCUUACUGAGGCUGGAUUGGAGAUGGUUAAUUGGUACCCAUUUUUGCCCUCAGCUUCCUGAUAUGAUUGAAUAAAAAUUUCUGGUGAGUAGAUGUGCAGCCUGAGAAUUUAAAGUAGAAAUGACAUGAGUUUAGAUUUGUGAUUCCUGUAAGAUUGUUUUUUAUAAAUUACUUUUUAAGAUAAAUAAUAAAAUAAUUGAUCCUUUCUUUGUAAUCUCAAAUCCCUGCCAGUCAGUAAGAGAAACUUGCUGAGAAAAUUACCUUUUUUGCUUAUAUUGAUAAUUUAUAACAAGUUGCUUAGUUAUGAAUGUACAUGGGUAUUUGGGAAUAAUUUAUUUUCUUUAUCUGUACUAUGUAGUGUUUUUCAUGCAAAGGUAUUGGGGAACACACUGUUUUUCAUAGUUAUUCAAGAGAAAAAUAGGAUGAAGUCACUUGUAAUUUCUAUGCUGCUUGAAAGAUUUUGUUGAGAUAUAUAAACUGUGGGAGAAAAAAUAAAGCUGUUAGAACAUGUUUGUUGAAGCUUUGCUCUGCCCUAAACUGGGAGACUUUGAAAAAAAUCAAAGUUACAGGAAUUCCUCUUCAAUGGACCUAGAACUAUUUCCUCCAACAAAGAGUUUCCUGAGCAACAAAUAAA